GACGUAGGGAGCGAGCGUUGUCCGGAUUUAUUGGGCGUAAAGAGCGCGUAGGCGGCCGAGUAAGUCCGACGUGAAAUCUGGAGGCUCAACCUCCAGCGGUCGUUGGAAACUACUCGGCUAGAGUCCGGAAGAGGAGAGUGGAAUUCCUGGUGUAGCGGUGAAAUGCGCAGAUAUCAGGAAGAACACCGAUGGCGAAAGCAGCUCUCUGGGACGGUACUGACGCUGAGGCGCGAAAGCGUGGGGAGCGAACAGG
rnacentral:rRNA from 1 species